rnacentral:piRNA from 1 species
UCUAGAUGUACAGCAGUGCCCUUUGAGAUGA